rnacentral:rRNA from 1 species
GAUGAACGCUGGCGGCGUGCCUAAUACAUGCAAGUCGAGCGGACGGACGAGACGCUUGUUUCUCUGAUGUUAGCGGCGGACGGGUGAGUAACACGUGGAUAACCUACUUAUAAGACUGGGAUAAUUUCGGGAAACCGGAGCUAAUACCGGAUAAUAUUUUGAACCGCAUGGUUCAAAAGUGAAAGACGGUCUUGCUGUCACUUAUAGAUGGAUCCGCGCUGCAUUAGCUAGUUGGUAAGGUAACGGCUUACCAAGGCAACGAUGCAUAGCCGACCUGAGAGGGUGAUCGGCCACACUGGAACUGAGACACGGUCCAGACUCCUACGGGAGGCAGCAGUAGGGAAUCUUACGCAAUGGGCGAAAGCCUGACGGAGCAACGCCGCGUGAGUGAUGAAGGUCUUCGGAUCGUAAAACUCUGUUAUUAGGGAAGAACAGAUGUGGAAGUAACUGUGCACAUCUUGACGGUACCUAAUCAGAAAGCCACGGCUAACUACGUG